rnacentral:rRNA from 1 species
AGUGAACGCUGGCGGUAGGCCUAACACAUGCAAGUCGAACGGCAGCACAGUAAGAGCUUGCUCUUACGGGUGGCGAGUGGCGGACGGGUGAGGAAUACAUCGGAAUCUACUUUUUCGUGGGGGAUAACGUAGGGAAACUUACGCUAAUACCGCAUACGACCUACGGGUGAAAGCAGGGGAUCUUCGGACCUUGCGCGAUUGAAUGAGACGGAGUCGGGUUAGAUAGGUGGUGGGGUAAAGGCCCACCAAGGCGAGGCUACGGAGCCGGUCUGAGGAGAUGGUCCGGCACACCUGGAACGGAGACACGGUCCAGCUCCCUACGGGAGGCAGCAGUGGGGAAUAUUGGACAAUGGGCGCAAGCUUGAUCCAGCCAUACGGCGUGGGUGAAGAAGUCCUUCGGGUUGUAAAGUCCUUUUGUUGGGAAAGACAAGCGGCAGGUUAACUCCCCGCUGUUCUGACGGUACCAAAAGAAUAAGCACCGCCUAACUUCGU